CAGGGUGAUAUUUCAGACUAACAUGGCUAUAACCCUGAAAACAACCAAAGCAAUGAGUGGUAAUGGCAUAACCUUGACCUAUGCCAUAAUAAUUCACCAACAGGACCUAGACUUUGUGUAAUUUGUAUGUGUAUGUAUAAUAUGUGUGUGUAUGUUAUAGUAUGGGUAUUCUGUUUAUCAUUUUGCAACUAAUUCUAGUUUUGCACAAAGACCAAUAUGGUAUUUUGGCUUACUGACACAGGUAUAUUUGAUUCCAACUUGUCUUUUGAUACAUGACAUUUCUGGGAUGGGGGAGCUGACAUCUCUUUCUAGCCAUAAAACAUGUGGGUCUUCCUAUCCCUAGAAAUCAUCCGUCAAGAGACAAAUCGCAAGGAAACAGUAAAUGCCAUUGCAACCGUCUUGAACCUUGUGAGUUUGGAAGCCAAGACUUCUGACAUAUUCUUGGCAGCAUCAGAGAUAAUGGAGAACGUGGGACAUGAGCCUUCAGAAAAUGUUUUUGGGAGAUUCUUUAACAGAAUAAGAACUAUCUGGAAGAGGUAGAAAAUGUUUUCCCAUUGGGAACGGAAAAGGCUGACCAUGUCAAUCGCUGUUCCUCAUCCUCCUCCGGUUUGACGCCUGAUCUGAAUCACAGUUCUGAGUCUGCCUGUCCACCUGACGCCUAAGGAUUCCAGUUGGACAUCUUAACCCUCUUCAGUAUCCAUAAAUCUCUCUGCCUAUACAACUGAGUGCUACUUCAGAGCUCAGUCAGAGGGGCAGGGACGUUCUUUUCCCCACAAAAACCAUUCCUUAGUUCCCUCUUAUCUGUUGAGGAUAUUGCCGUUGACGUAAAGGCUCUCUAAACCAAAUGUAGGCAACGGUGGCCCUUCUGAAAUCUUUGGACUACAGCUCCCACAAUCCCUUGCCAAUUGGCUAAAGCUGAUGGAAGUUGUAGUCCAAGAAAUAGAUGCGGGAAAGGGGUCACGGUCACCUGUCCCUCCUCUAAGUGCAAGGAGGAACAUUUAGCACCUGCUCAUCAUGAAGAGACUAGUUUUAUCCUGAAAACCCUCCAUUUUGUUAAAAUAUGUAUUGUUCAAGAUUUUAAAAAAUGACAGAAUAAAAACAGUCUAAAUGUA